rnacentral:snRNA from 1 species
AUACUUACCUGGCAAGGGAGACACCGUGAUCAAGAAGGCGGUUCACCCAGGGCGAGGCUCAGCCAUUGCACUCCGGCUGUGCUGACCCCUGCGAAUUUCCCAAAUGUGGAAAUCUCGAUUGCAUAAUUUCUGGUAGUGGUGGACUGCAUUCGCGCUCUCCCCUG